GGAGAUGUAUUUCCGUGGUAGAGAGCUUGCCUAGCAUGCCUGAGCCCUGGGUUCAAUCCCCAGCAUCACAA
rnacentral:tRNA from 1 species